UUUUGGGGAUCAAAUUCAUGCUGUUGGGUCUUGAAAGACCCCCAGAGUGGGGAGACCCUCACUCAAGUCUCGGGAUAAGCCGAUACCCCAAUAAUUCAAGAAAGACC
rnacentral:pre_miRNA from 11 species